UGAGGAACAUGACUUUCGGCGGGGGAUAGCCGGCCCAACGGCCGGGUAAUACCGCGUACGACCACUUUGGGACAUCCCUCGGUGGUGAAAGCAGCAAUGCGCCGAUGGAGUGCCUCGCGGCCUAUCAGCUAGUUGGUGAGGUAACGGCUCACCAAGGCGACGACGGGUAACUGGUCUGAGAGGAUGGCCAGCCACAUUGGGACUGAGACACGGCCCAGACUCCUACGGGAGGNAGCG
rnacentral:rRNA from 1 species